GUUAUAUGGUCAAGUGAAGAAGCGCAUACGGUGGAUGCCUUGGCAGUCAGAGGCGAUGAAAGACGUGGUAGCCUGCGAAAAGCUUCGGGGAGUCGGCAAACAGACUUUGAUCCGGAGAUGUCUGAAUGGGGGAACCCAGCCAUCACAAGAUGGUUAUCUUGUACUGAAUACAUAGGUGCAAGAGGCGAACCAGGGGAACUGAAACAUCU
rnacentral:rRNA from 1 species